rnacentral:rRNA from 1 species
GUUCGGAUUGCAGGCUGCAACCCGCCUGCAUGAAGUUGGAAUCGCUAGUAAUCGCGGAUCAGCAUGCCGCGGUGAAUACGUUCCCGGGCCUUGUACACACCGCCCGUCACACCAUGAGAGUCGGGAACACCCGAAGUCCGUAGCCUAACCGCAAGGGGGGCGCGGCCGAAGGUGGGUUCGAUAAUUGGGGUGAAGUCGUAACAAGGUAUC